UGCACCAGUUUGCAUUCCCAUCAACAGUGCACAAGGAUUCCCUUUUCUCCACAUCCUCGCCAACAUUUGCUGUUUUUUGUGUGGUGGAAGCCCUUUAAAGACAGAAUAGGCCUUCCCGGAAGAUCAGCAACACCAAGCAUGCCAGUAUGCUUUCCCUUCCUCUGGACUUUUCUUUCCUUGGAUUUCAAGCUUCAGCUAGAGCUCAUGGAACUCCUGCCUCCUUGUGAUCUCCCCCUGAAUGCCUGCUCUGUGGACUUCAGGCUUGCUUAGCCAGUCUCCACAACUGUUUCUACAGCCAGCUCAGAGGAUUCCAAAGCCCUUGAGACUGAAGCACAAGAUCUUGAAAUACUACAAAUAAAGUCAAACACAGUAUGUUCCUAUUUACCAAAAUGCCCACUUGUCCAAAAAAAAAAAAGAAAUUAAAAAAAUGUUUUCUCUUAGGAGAGUGCAGUAACCAAGAGGACUCAGGAGGAGUGGCUUAUGCAGGAUUACAGAGGCCUCCCAUUCCAGGAACAAAAAGACUGCAGCUGCCAGCAGAGAGCACCACAGACACUGAAAUGGUUGGACCUAUACUCAAUAAAUAUGAAGAAAAUGAAAGAAUGGAUGUGUAAACAUAUACCAGUCCUUUGGACCAGUUUUUCCUCCACCCCAUUGCUUUGGAGUACUCAAUCCUCUCCUCACCCAUCCCUCUCCAUCAGGAGUCCUGAGAAGCAAUUGUACUAGCCUGCACUGCCUUUCAUCCAUGGAGAACUGUGGACAGAGCUUGCCCUCCAGUUCCCCAGGGCAUGUGCCUACCCAGCCAACACCAGAGUUCACUUGCUUGCACCUUCCUAGUGUUUCAUUGGGAGCACAUCCAUGGUCUCAGGUUUCUGUUUGCAAAGCCAGACCACAAAAAUUAAGUUAAUUGAGACAUCAUAGCAAAAGGAUUUUUCUUCAGAGAUGAGUUUAUCAAUUUCCUUAGUCUCAGGGAUGUUGGCCUAUCCUUUAUACCCAAUCCUUUCCUCUUCCUCUGUACAAAAAUGAAGGAAAAGUGGUCUGCUAUGGAAGACAGAAACAGAGGGUUGUGUGGGCAUUCAAUUAUCUGCUUAAGUGAAAGAUGAGCUCAAAGCCACAAAAUGGCUUCCCUUUAAAGUAAAUGAUAUAAAGGAAAAGCUGAAGCUGAAACCAGUAAAUCCACCUUUCAGAAAAGCAACCUGUAACUUGGAGUUAGCAAAUACAGACUGCCAUAGCUUGCAGAAUAUUAGAAACCCACACAGUGAAAGUAAACAAAAUAAGAUUUGCAUCCUAGUGUGGUCUACUGGUUAGGAACUGUUAGCUUCAUUUAGGCCCUGACUUGGUGAUGCUUCUACAUUUUCCUAUCUUUAUUUGCAAGCUAUAGUGCACGUGGUAUAGUGGAGAGAGCAGGGGACACAGCACACAGAGGGAACUUGAAAGAUCUCUGAUUAAAGAAUAAAAAGUCAAGUAACAAUAGUGUUGUCCCAGUGCCACUUACAUGUGACCUUGGAAAAAUGAUUUAAUCUCUGAAAAUCUCAAAAUCCUAAUUUGUAAGAUGCUCUUCUCUGCCCAACUCAGAGGUUUGUGGGCAAAAUCCAAAUGACAUAAUGAUUCUAAAAGACCUUACAAAUUAUAAAGGGGAAUUUAAAUUGGCAUCCCGAGAUGUUCUUAAUGCUCUCACAGGACUACUGUGAGACUCAAGGAGACCAUGCAGUGGAAAGCCAUUUGGGCACCUACGGAGAGACACUAUGAAAAUCCUGGAGAUUAUGUUCAUAGUUGGAAUACCUGUGGAGCCCAUUUGUCCCCACACUGUGAGUCUGCCCAUGAACACCUCAGAGACCUUUAAGAUACAUAUUAUUAUCUCCAGUUUAGAAGGAUACUGAAGCCUAGAGAAAUUAAGAAACUUGCCUAAAACGCUACUCCUCUUUAGUGACAGCAGAGGGCUUCAAACUCUGAUCUGCCCAGCUCCAAACCCUGUGUUCAUGUCAUGAAAGAAACCAAGUCGCCAGCUGUCAGAGGUAUUAAGGUAUUCUCUACCUGGUGACAGUUCAAGGUGAAGUUCCUGGAAUUCUACCCUCACGGCUGGUGGCAGUGCUUCCUGUCUAGGGCCUGUACUAGCCCAGAGUGUUUUUCUCAGUCAGACAGGAUUCAAGGUCUUCCAGGAGGAAUAAGUGGGAUAUUUACAAGUUUUUGUCAUGUUGUGGCCAUUCUCAAUUCACACUGGAGUUUGGGAGGUCCUGGCAAUGGACUUGAGGGGUCAUAUGGGUUCGGUGGAGCUUUACUUCCUUAAUCGGGUUUUGCCAAGCACAGUAAAGGAAGUUUUGUUCUAUUCUCAAAGCGUCUCCUUCUAGGGCUUCAGAAGUCCAGUCAAAGUCAUGAAGGAAUGUCUGAACACACAAUGGUGACAUUAGAGGCAGCAUUCUGGAUUAAUCAAGACAGAUACUUCUUUGACUCCUCUCCAAAGAUUUCCUGGUACUGAAGGCAUGUUCCAGGUUUAAAGAAGUAGAGGGACUCCCAAAAAUCCAUCUGGCAGUUUGAGUAGACCCCCACAGGCUGGUUAACAAGGCACAAAAGGGUUUCUACCACUAGGCACACUCUUAGUCUACUAACUGAACCAAAUUGUUUUGUACAGUGCUAAGAAAGGCUGUGAAAAGGUGAAAAUGAUGAAUACUGACAACAACCCAAGAGGAUUCUAGUGCAAAAACUGCACAGCAAUGACACUGCAUCAUUCCUGGUCUUACAGACAAAUGUAGUACACAUGGAAUAAGUACAUGCCCAAGGCUGCCAAGCUGUCAUCUGACCUCUGACACACGAGUGUAGGGUUUUCUGCCUUCAGGUUACGGAUGCUCCCUGCCUGCUUGUGAUCAUCAGUGCCUAUCAUGGUGGCUCAUCAGGCCUCCAGACUUCCCAGGCAGCAUGAGAGGUAGACUGUCCUUAAACUGCCACACAUCUCUGACUCCUGCAAACCAGCAUGCACCGACAGCCACUGGGUACCUGACCACCAGGAGCUCUUUGCACUGCUCUGCGAUGGCCACAUCUUUCCCACCUACGCAAACACAUCCAUGGCCAUCGAAGUAACUUUCAGGGAAUCCUACACUAUAUAUCUUCUAAAUUUGUGUGUGCUAUCUCAAGAAUAUGCAUUCUUGGGAGCCAAAUGAGCACAAGGUAGUGUUCUUGCGUGUAUCAUUUGUUAAUGCAGUCACUCAUUCAUUCAUCAGCAAACAUUUGUUGUGUGCACCAUAAAUGCAAAAGGCGUUCAAUAAAAAUUAGUAAACAAAGAUGUUUGACUUGAUAUAAAAAUACAUUUAGAAGGCUUUAAUGUUUUCAUAUUUGAUUCUUACUCACUCGAAUCACCAUUCCCACAAGAAUAUUUACCAGUUGGUAAGCUGGAAAACAUUCUCAAUCUCCCUGGUUUUCCAUUUCAAACCUAUAGAGGAGGUCAUGCCUCAUAGCAUUGUUGUGAGACUUUAAUAAUUCCAUCUUUUGAAACUUUAUAAAUUACAACACAACAUGCAAUGUCAUUUCUUAAUGCUACUAUGUGUCUAGUACUAUAUUGUCCCCACUUUAUCCAAUAUUAUAUUUACAAAAAUAAAGAUUUCUCCAAAGAGAGUUAUGCAAAUCUUUGCACUA